CUGCUGCCUCCCGUAGGAGUCUGGGCCGUGUCUCAGUCCCAAUGUGGCCGGUCACCCUCUCAGGUCGGCUACUGAUCGUCGCUUUGGUGGGCCGUUACCCCGCCAACUGGCUAAUCAGACGCGGGCCCAUCCCAUACCACCGGAGUUUUUCACACCGGGCCAUGCGGCCCUGUGCGCUUAUGCGGUGUUAGCAGUCAUUUCUAACUGUUAUCCCCCUGUAUGGGGCAGGUUGCCCACGCGUUACUCACCCGUCCGCCA
rnacentral:rRNA from 1 species